GUAGGUGGCAAGCGUUGUCCGGAAUUAUUGGGCGUAAAGCGCGCGCAGGCGGUUCUUUAAGUCUGAUGUGAAAGCCCACGGCUCAACCGUGGAGGGUCAUUGGAAACUGGAGAACUUGAGUACAGAAGAGGAAAGCGGAAUUCCACGUGUAGCGGUGAAAUGCGUAGAGAUGUGGAGGAACACCAGUGGCGAAGGCGGCUUUCUGGUCUGUAACUGACGCUGAGGCGCGAAAGCGUGGGGAGCAAACAGGGAUUAGAUACCCUGGUAGUCCACGCCGUAAACGAUGAGUGCUAAGUGUUAGGGGGUUUCCCGCCCCUUAGUGCUGCAGCUAACACAUUAAGCACUCCGCCUGGGGAGUACGGCCGCAAGGCUG
rnacentral:rRNA from 1 species